rnacentral:rRNA from 1 species
CUAUACAUGACUCUGCGCAUAUCAAUAAGCGGAGGAAAAGAAACUAACAAGGAUUCCCCUAGUAACGGCGAGUGAAGCGGGAAGAGCUCAAAUUUGAAAUCUUAAAGGGUUUCCCUUUACGAAUUGUAGUUUAAAGAAGUGUUUUCUGUUGAGGUUUUGGUAAAAGUUCUUUGGAAUAGGACAUCAUAGAGGGUGAGAAUCCCGUAUUUGACCUUUACUUUCCAACUUUGUGAUACACUUUCAAAGAGUCGGAUUGUUUGGGAAUGCAGUCCAAAAUGGGUGGUAAAUUUCAUCUAAAGCUAAACAUUGGCGAGAGACCGAUAGCGAACAAGUACCGUGAGGGAAAGAUGAAGAGAACUUUGAAAAGAGAGUUAAACAGUACGUGAAAUUGUCAAAAGGGAAGCGUUUGACACCAGUGUUGUUUUUCUGAAAAUCAAUUAAAGAACUGUCUAUGCUAAGCUGUUUAGACUUUAUCAGCUAUCUGUUUAGUUUUGAGCUUUUCUUUAAUGCACUUUUCAGUUAACAAGUCAACAUCAAUUUCUUUUGCUGUAAAAAAGCUUGAGGAAGGUGGCUUGAGAUUCGUCUUAAGUGUUUAUAGCCUCUUGCCUAUGCAGUCGGAGAGAUUGAGGUCUGCAGCGUAGAUCCUUCGGGGCUAAAUGCAUUUGUGCUAAGUUAUAGCAUUUUAUAGACAACUUGUUGACUAUGAUUUGUCUUGUAGCUUACUCGCUUAUGUUAUUUUACCUACGCUUAGGAUGUUGAUCUACAGAGCGAGAGU